GGAAUUGUGCCUGAAUGUUUAAGGACCACCUUGAUAGCGUGGCUGAUGGGGGUU
rnacentral:tRNA from 2 species